rnacentral:tRNA from 4 species
CGCUUUAGCUCAGUCGGUAGAGCGUCUCACUCGUAAUGAGAAGGUCGCGAGUUCGAUUCUCGCAAGCG